AAGAGUUCCUGUUUCUCCACAUCCUUGCCAGCAUUUGAUGUUGUCAGUGUUCUGGAUUUCAGCCACUCUAACAGCACCCCACAAAAAAAAGUCCUGGAGCCUGAACUAUGAUUAAAUGUAAUAUACUGCAUGCCAAUGAUUUUGAGCAUAAGAUGCAAUCAGUGUAUGAUAAGCUACCGAUCACCCCAAGGAAGCCACUGGCAGAAACAAGGAGAGAAGAAAGGCGUAACGAAUCAGUGAUGGAACAGGAAGGAAUCAACUGAGGGAAGCAAAGGGCUGCUGAGUCACAAGCAUGACAGGCAACUAGAAUCAGCCCGGGCUCCCCAGAGCUGCUGCUCAUCCUGAACACUGCGGGCUUGCUCAGAAUUUCCUGGCUGUCCUUUCAGACUUCGUGUGCAUCGUGACAAUACACCACUCUCACCUAACGGAAUCUAAGGAUGUCGCUACCCUGAAAUAGCCAAAUAUUCCAGUUGAAUCUAUUUGUUAAAGCUUAGUCAACCAGAUUUGUUUCUAAGGAGACACUGACAAUAAAAAUAAAAAUGAAAAACAGAAAAACAUUAUUUUCCCUGCAUAAAAGAGCCCUUUUCUUUUUAGAUCUUCCUGAGUCUCAAAACUGUUCUCUUCCUUGAGUUUCAA
rnacentral:lncRNA from 10 species